AUAAACUUCAGAAAUAAUUUCAAUAAUAAUAAUUGUUAUAUAAUAACUAGUCUCUCUUUUAAUUAAUUGUUAAAAUGGACAUAGAAAUGAAAUAUUUGAUAAAUUCAAUUUUUCAAUUUCUGACAGAAAUGACCAACAAGUUGUUGAGUCAAACAAGCAAUCAAAUUUUUCCUUGCAAAAUAUUACAUCACUUCUAGUUUAAUUAGCUAAUCUGUAGUUAUGCAAAAGUACCGUAUGGUUGUCUGUUUUAACAAUUAUGUUGAAAUAUUUUUAUUAUAAAUAUAUAUGAGAAUUGGUAAAUUGACUUAUUAUACAUGAUUUUUUUAAUACCAUUUGUAAGCUUAUUCACUAAAUUAUGUAUACUAUAUAUAAAUUUUUAAUUCCUAUGUAAAUAACAUGCAAAUAUUCAUAAUCAUGCACAAAUGUUUUUAAAUUAAAAAAUAAAUUUAAAUAAAAAAAUCUGUCUAUUAGUCCUUUUUUUUUCCUAUUAAUAUUUCUGAGCAAAUUUGCAUUUUUGAUAAAUUGUUUUAAUGUCAAAAUAAACAGGUAAGUAAUGAUUGUUUAUCAAAAAAUUUUUUGUAUUAGAAAAGUGAUAAUUUUUUUUUUAUUUCAGAGACAACGGCGGCAGAAUACAAAUACAAGAUUAUGUGGAUGAUUUUCAGAUCAUAUUUUUUAUACGGGUCUAAAUGCAUUAGGCAGCUCGUCAAAUUUUUGGAAUUACAACCAGACUACGUCCAAUCUGGAUUUUCAACAAAAUCAAACUUUGGUUAAAAAGUUUAAAUGUACCUAUUGUUCGUAUAGCACAAACAGCAGCGGAAACAUCAAUACUCACAUCAGAACUCAUACGGGCGAACGACCUUACAAGUGCCAGAGGUGCGGAAAAGGCUUUGCUCAGAAAAAUAAUUUAUCCAGGCACAUGCACAUCCACG